CUACGGGCGGCUGCAGUCGAGAAUCUUUCGCAAUGGGGGAAACCCUGACGACGCGACGCCGCGUGGAGGAUGAAGGUCUUCGGAUUGUAAACUCCUGUCAGCAGGGGAGAACAAGCUGUUCAUUAAUAAUGAAUAGCUUUGACAGUACCUGCAGAGGAAGCCACGGCUAACUCUGUGCCAGCAGCCGCGGUAAUACAGAGGUGGCAAGCGUUGUUCGGAUUUAUUGGGCGUAAAGGGUCCGUAGGCGGCCUAGAAAGUCGGAUGUGAAAUCCCACAGCUUAACUGUGGAACUGCAUUGGAAACUUCUAGGCUCGAGUGUGAUAGGGGUAAAGGGAAUUCCCGGUGUAAGGGUGAAAUCUGCAGAGAUCGGGAGGAACACCAGUCGCGAAGGCGCUUUACUGGAUCACUACUGACGCUGAGGGACGAAAGCCAGGGGAGCAAACGGGAUUAGAUACCCCCGUAGUC
rnacentral:rRNA from 1 species